UACGAAGGGGCUAGGCGUUGCUCGGAAUCACUGGGCGUAAAGGGUGCGUAGGCGGGUCUUUAAGUCAGGGGUGAAAUCCUGGAGCUCAACUCCAGAACUGCCUUUGAUACUGAGGAUCUUGAGUUCGGGAGAGGUGAGUGGAACUGCGAGUGUAGAGGUGAAAUUCGUAGAUAUUCGCAAGAACACCAGUGGCGAAGGCGGCUCACUGGCCCGAUACUGACGCUGAGGCACGAAAGCGUGGGGAGCAAACAGG
rnacentral:rRNA from 1 species